GACGAACGCUGGCGGCGUGCUUAACACAUGCAAGUCGAACGGAAAGGCCCUGCUUUUGUGGGGUGCUCGAGUGGCGAACGGGUGAGUAACACGUGAGUAACCUGCUCUUGACUUUGGGAUAACUUCAGGAAACUGGGGCUAAUACCGGAUAGGAGCUCCUGCUGCAUGGUGGGGGUUGGAAAGUUUCGGCGGUUGGGGAUGGACUCGCGGCUUAUCAGCUUGUUGGUGGGGUAGUGGCUUACCAAGGCUUUGACGGGUAGCCGGCCUGAGAGGGUGACCGGCCACAUUGGGACUGAGAUACGGCCCAGACUCCUACGGGAGGCAGCAGUGGGGAAUAUUGCACAAUGGGCGGAAGCCGGAUGCAGCAACGCCGCGUGCGGGAUGACGGCCUUCGGGUUGUAAACCGCUUUCGCCUGUGACGAAGCGUGAGUGACGGUAAUGGGUAAAGAAGCACCGGCUAACUACGUG
rnacentral:rRNA from 1 species